CAGAUACAGUUAGGACCUAAAGCUGAGGCUACACCAGAUACAGUUAGGACCUAAAGCUGAGGCUACACUAACACCAGAUACAGUUAGGACCUAAAGCUGAGGCUACACUAACACCAGAUACAGUUAGGCCCUAAAGCUGAGGCUACACCAGAUACAGUUAGGACCUAAAGCUGAGGCUACACCAGAUACAGUUAGGACCUAAAGCUGAGGCUACACCAGAUACAGUUAGGACCUAAAGCUGAGGCUACACUAACACCAGAUACAGGUAGGACCUAAAGCUGAGGCUACACCAGAUACAGUUAGGACCUAAAGCUGAGGCUACACUAACACCAGAUACAGUUAGGCCCUAAAGCUGACACCAUGUUCCUUCAGAAAAGCCAAACUGUUAACUGGUACUGUAUUUCAUCACUCACAAUCUUGCCAAAGCAUAUUCUGUAAAAGGGGUUAAUAUGAAUGUAAAGUAAUUUGACGUGAUUUAUAUGAAUCAGGUGAUGAACAUAUGGACAUUAAAAUGAAUAAGGGAGAGGUUAAACGUAGGCUAAGUCUUCCCACACAUUACAAUAACUCUGUUGCAGUGGUCAUAGGUAUUGCAGUGGUCUUAGGUAUUUUCCGUAUAGGCUCUUCCCUCCGUCUCUCCACUGCUGCCCAGUUGAAGAGCUUGUGAUCUCCAUGCAGCACCACAACACCAUGUUCCUUCAGAAAAGCCCCCCUCAGCCUCAGAAGAUGCCCUUCUGGAUGCAUGCAGCCAUACAGUUGUUAUACCCUAAUGUAGGACUAUAUGCCUUCUAGCCAAAUGGAGUGCAGAACAUGCAUAAUGCUUUCAACUCAUCACUCCAACAGAUCAUUUAAUUCAUCCUUCAUUCAGUUCAGUCAUCCAUUCAGUCAUCCUUCAUUCAGUUCAGUCAUCCAUUCAGUCAUCCUUCAUUCAGUUCAGUCAUCCAUUCAGUCAUCCUUCAUUCAGUUCAGUCAUCCAUUCAGUCAUCCGUCUGAGUUGCCAUAGGAACUAAAUCAGAGAGAAUAGAACACUCAUCCAUUCAGUCAUCCAUUCAGUCAUCCAUUCAGUCAUCCUUCAUUCAGUUCAGUCAUCCAUUCAGUCAUCCGUCUGAGUUGCCAUAGGAACUAAAUCAGAGAGAAUAGAACACUCAUCCAUUCAGUCAUCCAUUCAGUCAUCCGUCUGAGUUGCCAUAGGAACUAAAUCAGAGAGAAUAGAACACUCAUCCAUUUGUUUAUUGAAAUCCAUGUGUGAAUUCAAAAUGAUCUACAAUUUCCAAAGUUCUUUAGCCUAUCACUUUAAUAAUUCAAUAUUUAAUUUAGGCCUAAAUUGUGUGUUGGUGCUUGAAAAAACAAGGUAAAAUAGUGAUGCCAGUGAUUUUGAAGUUUGGAGCUUUAGAUCCCGGAGGUUUUGACUUCUGUGGUGGAUGACCGUUCAAAAUUAUUUUUCCCAGUCGGAGCUUGUUUUCCCAAAUUCCCAGUUGUCAUAAACACACUGUCAACACUAGUCACUUUACUAAUGCCACUUUAGAGACUGAAAAACAACUUCUAUCUCAAGGCCAUCAGACUGUUAAAUAGCCAUCACUAGCACAUUAGAGGCUGCUGCCUAUAUACAUAAACUGGAAAUCACUGGUCACUUUAGUAAUGUUUACAUAUUUUGCAUUACUCGUCUCAUAUGUAUAUACUGUAUUCUAUACUAUCUACUGUAUCUUAUUCUAUGCCGCUGUGACAUUGCUCAUCCAUAUAUUUAUACCUUCUAAUUCCAUUCCUUUACUUAGAUUUGUGUGUAUUAGGUUUUUGUUGUGGAAUUGUUAGAUAUUACCUGUUAGAUAUUGCUGCACUGUCGGAGCUAGAAGCACAAGCAUUUCGUUACGCUCGCAAUAACAUCUGCUAAACCAUGUGACCAAUAACAUUUGAUUUGAUGUCUAACGGUUCCGAGUUCCCAGUUGUCUUGAACGCAGUGUGUGUGUGUGUGUGUGUGUGUGUGUGUGUGUCAGUGAUGUCACUACGCAGAGGACGCCUCUUCCUGAUCGUCACUCUGUCCAUUCAUAUCAACCAGAGAGGAAGAGGACGAGAGGCCAACUCGGCGGAAAAUCUGUCUCGCUCAACAACCAAGCAAGGACUUUUUGUAUAGAGGUCAAUGAGAGUGUCGAAUUUGGUCAACAAUAAAACAAUUAUUCGC
rnacentral:lncRNA from 1 species